rnacentral:rRNA from 1 species
CCUACGGGAGGCAGCAGUGGGGAAUAUUGCACAAUGGGCGGAAGCCUGAUGCAGCGACGCCGCGUGAGGGAUGACGGCCUUCGGGUUGUAAACCUCUUUCAGUAGGGAAGAAGCGUAAGUGACGGUACCUGCAGAAGAAGCGCCGGCUAACUACGUGCCAGCAGCCGCGGUAAUACGUAGGGCGCAAGCGUUAUCCGGAAUUAUUGGGCGUAAAGAGCUCGUAGGCGGUUUGUCGCGUCUGCCGUGAAAGUCCGGGGCUCAACUCCGGAUCUGCGGUGGGUACGGGCAGACUAGAGUGAUGUAGGGGAGACUGGAAUUCCUGGUGUAGCGGUGAAAUGCGCAGAUAUCAGGAGGAACACCGAUGGCGAAGGCAGGUCUCUGGGCAUUAACUGACGCUGAGGAGCGAAAGCAUGGGGAGCGAACAGGAUUAGAUACCCUGGUAGUCCAUGCCGUAAACGUUGGGCGACUAGGUGUGGGGGACGAUUCCACGUUUUCCGCGCCGUAGCUAACGCAUUAAGUGCCCGCCUGGGGAGGUACGGCCGCGAGACGUAAACGUACGAAGAAGUUAGUACGGCGUUGAGACGNGCCGACGGACGACGACGAGGGAGGAGG